ACCUCAGGCUAUGCUCGAAUGAGUUUCUUGAAUACUUACCGAGGUUACCACUAGAUUGUUAUGCAUGAGCCUGAUUAGGAAAAGAUUGCAAGCAUCACUCCUCGAGGCGUGUUGUGCUAUAAGGUCAUGCCCUUUGGAACGCUGGUGCCACAUAUCAAAUGAUGGUCACGAAAAUGUUUGAGCCAAUCUUAGGUAAAACCAUGAACACGUGCAUCGAUGAUAUGGUGGUCAAAAGCAAAGAGAAAUCAAACCACAUCAAGGACCUGAUUGAGGUAUUCAAGAUUUUAAAGACACACAAGCUAAGACUAAACACGCAAAAGUGCGCCUUCAGCGUGAGCACGGGAAAAUUCUUGGGACAAUUAGUGACGAGACGCGGGAUCGAGGCCAAUCUAGAGAAAAUCACUGCGAUCAACAAUCUUGUCAUCUUGAAGAAUGCGAAGGAGGUUCAAAAGUUGACAGGGAUGACAGCGGCACUAAACAGAUUUAUCAAAAGUUCUCAGAUAAAUGACAUUCAUUUUUUAAAAUCCUUUGCAAAAAUACAAACUUUUCAUGGAAUGAGGAGUGCGAGCGGCUCCAAGUUUACCUCACUAUCUCUGAGCCAUACAAAAUUUUUAAAAUCCUUUGCACAUAACAAUUUAAAAAAUAGUUAAUGGAGCCACCGCUUCUUUCCACACCAAAUAAGGGAGAGCGGUUCCAAGUUUACCUUACUGUCUCUGAGCACGUCAUUAGCUUAGUGUUGUUAAGGGAGGUAAACAGAGAGCAACGCCCAAUCUACUUUGUUAGAAAGAUGUUCACGGAUUGCCAAAUAAGGUACUUGCCAUUGGAGAAGCUAGUUUUAGCCUUGGUCUUAAUUUCGCGAAAACUCAUGCACUACUUCUAAGUACAUCCAAUCGUUGUGUACACUGAGUUUCUGCUCAAGAACAUCUUUCAAAGGCAGAUUUGUCUGGCUGACUUUCCAAAUAGAUUGUCGUGCUCGGUCAGUCAGAUAUAAAAUUUCUGCCAAGGGCAGUGAUAAAAGGACAGAUCUUGACUGAUUUCGUGGUGGAAUUCUCACCCAAAGUUGUCAAUCCAUAGCAAGCACGCCUUGCCUCUAUAGACGAGGAAAGCGAGAGCUCACUAGCUAGAUCUUUGGAAGUUCAACCAAUUCCUGGGGUUACAAAGGUUGCCUAAGAACCAUAUCGGGACGACGAAAUAAUCGAUAGUGAUGAAACAUCUGGGGUUUCAGAGGUUUCAAAACCACCUCAAAUCAAUCCCACCACAUCUUGGAAAAUGUUUGUGGAUGGGCAAAAAAACAGCAUGGGUGCAGGGGUAGGAUUAGUAUUGAAGAGUCCAGAAGGAGCAAUUUUUAAACACUGCCUCAGAUUGAAUUUCCUAGCAACAAACAAUGAGGCCGAAUACGAAGCUUUCAUUGCGGACUUCGGUCUACCAGUAAACUAAGGGUUCCCGAGCUCCACAUAUUCAAUGACUCGAAUUUGGUCGUCAACUAAGUCACAAGAAAAUUUAAAACUCGGGAGUUAGAAUAGCUACGUAUUUGUCAUUAAUGAAGGACCUCCUCAAAGAAUUCAGGGCAGUGAAAAUUGAACUAGUGGGAAGGGAUUCAAAUGCACAUGUAGACUCAUUGGCUGGAUUGGCAUCAGUUUUUGAAGGAGAGGUAGGCAGAACCAUUACAGUGGAGCUGAUCUCGGCCCCAAGUCAUGAAGCGUGCCAUAUUCCAUCCUUGUCAAUAAAAAGCUUUGGUCGAGCUGGAUGGACCCUAUUGUAAAUUUUUUGCAACAUGAUAAGUUACUUGAAGACAAGAUGAGGCACACAAACUCAGAAUAUAAGCAACACAAUUUUGGAUUUCCCCCUCGAGGAACUUGCACAAAAGAUCCUACUUAGGACCUUACUUACUGUGCAUUCACUCGAGUCUGGUUGAAGAUGUACUCUUUGAGAUUUACGAAGGCAUGUGCAGACUGCAUUCUGGUGGGAGAUCGUUAGUACACCGAGCCUUAACUCAGGAAUAUUGGUGGCCUUACACGCAUAAAGACACCCAAAUCUACGUCCGCAAAUGCAUAAAAUGCCAGCUCUUUUCCUUCUUGAUUCAUCAGCCAACAAGGGACUUGACCCCUCUCAUAAAUUCAUGGCCCGUUGCCCAAUAGGGAAUGGACAUUGUAGGGGUCCUGCCUCGAGCUCUAGGGAACAAAAAGUUUUUGUUAGCCAUAAUAGAUUACUUCACAAGAAUGGGUGGAAGCCAAACCACUGGCCCAAAUCAGGGAGGUGGACGUAAUUAAAUUCAUUCAGAGAAACAUUUUAUCCAGACUCAACAUCCCCAAAGCAUUUGUAUCAAACAAUGGUACCCAGUUCGUCAAGAAUAAGGUUAAAGAUUUGCUGGACUAGCUGAAGAUCAAAUUCUACAACUCAACACCGAGUUGCAUUGCAAUGGCCAAACUGAGGCCACGAACAAAACGAUCAUGAAUGGGAUUAAGAAGAGGCUAGAAAAAGCCAAGGCAAGUGGGUCGAGGAACUGCUAAACAUUUUGUGGGCCUAUCAGUCCACACCGCAGAAAGUAACAAACGAAACGCCUUACUCUUUGGCUUUUGGUUUCAAGGCUAUAAUCCCGUUGGAGGUAGGUUUGCCCACAAUACAGACCAAAACAUACGACGCCAGUCACAAUGAAGAAGUCCUAGCUCGGGACCUCGACCUUGUGGAUGAAAGAAGAGAAAAUGCACUUAUACGGAUGGCUGACUACCAGAAGGUCUAAUAUAGAGAAUUUUCUAUGGGAGGCCUUAUUUUGAGAAAGGUUGUGGGAAACACCAAGGACCCGACGGAUGGUAAGCUUGGCCCGAACUGGGAAGGGCCCUACAAGAUAGUCAAGCUCGCCGGUAAAAAUGCUUACUACCUCAGAGACUCAGAAGGCAAACAAGUUCUAAGUCUUUAGAAUUCUAACAACUUGAGAAAGUAUUACUAUUGAAGUGUAAUAUUUUCGUCCAAGCUGAAAUUUAUAUAUCAACAUACUUGUCUAUAUUUUGACAUUUUAGAGCAUGAAUAAGAAACUAUUUGAAUAAGUAAAUGUCACGGAAGAGUUGACCGAGCUCCAUACAAGCUCCGAGCUCUGUCCGAAAAAUUUACCCAAGUAUACUUGAAAAUAAUUUAGGGAAAGGCUAGCCGAGCUCAAAGAAAACUCCGAGCUUUAGGGGAAGGCUAGCCAAGAGAAAACAGAAGUUCAUCCAAGAGACCUGAACAUUACAAAUUAAAGAGCAAAAGAAUGGUCUUAACGUUCAAGCAAAAGUCAGGAAGGGUCUUCAAACGAACUGCUCCUCAAGAUGAAUCUCCCCCUCAUCUUUAACACUUUCAUCUCUCUCAGUCACAAUGCCUUCAACUCCGUCGGGCUCAUCUCCUUGAGUCAUGGCAGCAUUGCCAUCCUCCCCUCCAGCCGAUAAAGUGGCGUACUCCUCUUAGUUGAAAUCAGGGAGAAGGAUCGGAGGGUAAACCAUCGGAGGAUAGGGAAGUUCGACCGAUGGGGCUGAAACGACCCAAGAAGGAUGAUCAGGAGGAGUCCCGAGUUCCCUCAAGCAGGCCAUCCAGACUUCUUGGAAAAUGCCAGGAUGGAGCUCGGCGAGGUGCUUCUCAUAGGUAUCCCCAACUUGUUCGAAGCCCCGAUCGAAUACCUUCUAGUACACUUAAUCGUAGGCCACCUUUUGGAGCUCGGCCACUUCCCGUUGAGCCUAGUUUAUCUGCCUAAUAACAAUCUCGACUGCAUUGCAGGCAUCAAACAACUCAUCCCUAGCCUGCUUCAAUUCUUUCUCAAGGCCAUGAAUCUUUUGAUUGUCCCUCUUCAGAUUCGCAGUGUGCUUCUUCAGGCGGGCAGAAGUGGCCACAGCUUGCUGGAAAAACUGCAAAAUGGAUAGAAACAACAAAAUCACUAAGUGUUGGAAGAAAUCAAAUGAGUAGACAGCAAGACAAGCUCAAAAACGGACCUGAGCACCCAUCAUGUGCAGCUUACCCGCGAACUCCUUCGAGUCUUCAGUAGCAAGAUCCACCACAUCAUGUGGAAGCACAAUAGCAUUCCCUAGGGCCACACAAGUCUCAUGAUCUUUGGAGGUGUCAGUGGACAUAACCUGUUUCCCAAGCUCAACUACAGUGAAUGUAGGGGCCUAAAGCUCAGGAAUGUCAGACAAACUACCAACGCCUUUCCCUUUCUUUUAGCAGGAAGUCCUCUUAGUGGGUUGCCUCCCUUUCUUUUUCCUGACCUGUUAAGAUGACGGGGCAAUUGACUAAUCACCAGUCGGGCUUAAAAGAGUUGGAACCAGAUCAACAGGCUGCUUUGUGGGCUCGUCCUUUGUAGCCUUUUUCUUUCCCAAGGCUCUUGCUCUGGGAGCCAUUACUUCUUCCUCUUUGCUUGAGCUGAAACCCAAACUACUGCCUUGAUUGAAUGAGUGUUCUUCUUCCUUACCACCCAAGUCCAUGUCCCAACUACUGGAUGAGUCUAAUGAACUUGAGACACUCGAAGUAGUGCUUUCUCCCUCGGCAUCUUCCUUCAAUUGCCUGAGCUCGGUUGCAGUUCCUUCGAUCAAGUCGCUGACUUCGAUAAAAAGAAAACUCCUCUAUCUCGGAGCUCGCUCACGGAUGUGGAGUGGAGGAAGCCUUGGUUGUCCCUUGUGGUUGGCUCGGUGAGGAAUGGUGUAGCAAUAGGCCGGGACAUAACUGAGAAGCUCGACAACUUUACUAGUCCACCGGCAGUUGUUGACCACUAUGAUCGCAGCAGCACAACGAUCAGACCUCCUUCAAAAGCGAGCAUUAAAUCCUAUAAACAUUAGAGCUGAGACCAAAAAAAAAUCAGACCACUGCAAACACAAAGCAAACGUAAGAUGCACAUGGAAAGCUAAGGUAACGAGAAAUAAGAAAACACUAUUCUUACCUACAGGAAUAUAACCUAUCUAUCUUGGGAUCGGAAAAAGACGUAGGUUGUUGGCCUAAAACUCCCACUGGUCAGAGACCCAGACAAAACCGCUCAAAUAUAAAUCUUUGUCAAUGGAAUCCAUGACCAGCCUCGUUUGAGGCUAAUUAGGUUUCCAUCAAUGAGGGAUGAACACGUGGCUGCUCCCCCACCACACACCCAAGCCAAGCAAACCCUAGGGGUAGGUAGAGAGUCAUCGAUGUCAAUCAAUCAAAUAGUGACACAUGUCCCGAGAGAUUUGCUAAAAAUAUUGGGAAAAAUCAAUGGGUGAGUUAGUCGAGCUCGAUGAGAGCUCCGAAAUCACCUCAUCAAAGAUUUUCCACACUUUAGCAAAAAUUGAUAUUUGGUGAAAGAGUUAGCCGAGCUUCGAAAGGGCUCCGAACUCUCUCCUGAGAGAUUUACUAUAAAUGUUGGGCAAAAUCAAAAAUUGAGCUAGCCGAGCUCGAUGAAAGCUCCGAACUCAGCCCAUCAAAGAUUUGCUGCACUUAGCAAAAAUUGAUGUCUAAUGAGAGAGUUAGCCAAGCAUCACAAGGGUUCCGAACUCUCUCCCGAAAGAUUUUCUAAAAAUGUUGGGCAAAAUCAAAAGAGUGAGCUAGCUGAGCUCGAUGAGAGCUCCGAACUUAGUCCAUCGAAGAUUUGUCACACUUAGCAAAAAUUGAUGAUUGAUGAGAGAGUUAGCCAAGCUUCGCAAAAGCUCUGAACUCUUUUCCAAUAGAUUUUCUAUAAGUACACUUACCAAAAGAUCCAGAUUUCAAGAUUACCUAAGUACACUUAUCAAAGAUUUUCAUGGGAGAUUUAACUAAACUCUACUUAUAAAAAUUUAUUCAUUACAAAGAAUCAUUCAAAUACAAAAUGGUGAAUUUAUAAGUGCAUAAACUAUUCAUUAUAGAGAGUCGUUUGAGUUAAAGAUUGUUCGAUUACAAGACUACGUAAAUACAAAACCUAUUUUAGGCGAACGACCGAGCUGUGAUGGAGGAUCUUUAUCUAGCCGCAACACUCCUAACAGAGAUGGAACCAUGCUAGAGGAUCUUUGUGGAGAGUUGCCUAGAGAAUGGAUAUGAAUAAUCAGGGAUGAAGCUGCCUGAACUUCAUGUUGUAUUUGACCCCGGCCGGUAGAACAUGCGAUUGCACGACAAUAUUUUCUGACUAGGCAGAAGUUCGCGCAACCACAUAACGGCAAGGGCGAAUGUACAGACUACUCACUACUCGCAGCAGAUUGUUUAUCAUCUACAAGUGAGCAUUUGUUGCUCGCAACUGAGUGGUCACUAGGAUACAAGAGAGCACUUCUGCUCAACACAGUUUGUUUGUCAGCUACAAGUGGAUCUUCCAAAACUAGAGCUCGCAAAAAGGACGCCUUCAUAUCGGGCUUGGCACCCUUUGGGUUGUACUGCACGCCCAAUUCGAGGGAACGAGCUGAAACCCGUGUUUGAGAAUACGAAAAGCCAACACUAAGAGCCACCUGUUGUCAACCGCUACCGAAACCAAUCAAGAAUAAGCACGUCCAACCCACAUGACCUCGGCGAGCAUCGCACCAGCCCAUGCGAAUUGAGGGGCAAUUGUAAGGGGAUAAAAUAGACAAUAACAUAAUUUGGAUAAGCUAGGGCGGGGGCCUCCGACUUGCUAUCGCUGGGAAGCAAGCUCAACAUACCCCUAGGCUGGAGCUCGGUGCAGUACUCCUAAACAUAGGCACUGUCCGAGAUAAGGCCAUCAUUGUCGACAAGCUUCCGCUAUCUACCAAGCUCGGUAUGAAUAACUACUCUAGAGCCCGGAUGAGGGACAACAUCCGGCAAUAAUCCCGAGGGAUGUCAGUGGACAGAAGGUGACUUGUGCAAUAGAGUUUCUUCUGACAGGCCCCAUACCCAGACAGAGAUACCAGAAACAUGAUGAUGAGCUAUCGACUAUGCCACAGAUGCAUGGUUAGGUCAGCCACCUACCUACUGACAUGACAAUGGCGCGUCAAGGUACACGCUGAGCUAGGCUAUAAAAAGGGAACUGUUGUUCUCGCUCAUGUACGUGUUCUUGGGCCACAAAACAUAGAUACACUUUCUCUCUCUACAUACACUUUCUCCGGUUAUCUAACUUGACUGUCGGAGAGUCGUUUCCCAGCUUCGGCGGCCGGUCUCAUUAUUUUUGUGCUUCAGUUAGGGUGUCGCCGUACCACUGUCUGGUGCUAGCUCUCCUUGCGUCGGAGGACUACCACAAGUGUUUGUCUUCGAUUUCUCUUCCAUCACUCAUCAAACCCACUACCCCACAUGAACCAUAAAUUACAAAGAGUUAAUGUGGUUAUUUUUUGAGUAAUUCGUAUGUGGAUCAAACUACAAGAGAGCGAAGUGAAAUUUGUUCAACAUUUUAAGGCACAUGAAAAAAUGUAAACAAACAAAUUCGAACAGAGAAAGUAUUGGAAUACCUCAAAAAAUUCCUAUAUUGCCCUUUGGCAAAAGGAAUGAUGUUUCGUAGGCAGUUGAUGCCGAAGUAAGCUUGGUUCCAUCUCCGGGGAGGCUGACUUUUCUUGUCUGUGAGAGGUACAUUUGUUCGGGAAAUUUUGAUAGCUGCAUAAGCCAGGCGCCAUUUCCUCUGGUAAGUUUUCGAAGCCGUGACUUCCAUGAAGAAAGAUUAAGCGGUUCGUUCAAUGGGUUGAAGUGUUUGAGUCUGUUCAUGCAGAAACGAUUGGCAAAAGAAAAAAUAAAGCUUUCCCCCUAGAAAUGAGAAUGUUUUGUCGAACCAAUGAGGUUCACUUUUUAAAAUGUGGUGAUGCAUCCAUUUGUAGAGGUUGGGUAAAUUACAAUUUUUGCUCCUGUAUUUUCAUCCAAAUUUUACUUUUGACCCAUUAGAUCCAAUUGUUUGUCAACUUUUUUUUUUUUUUUUUAUGUUUUAGACGCGAUUUUUUAUUUUUUUUUACUUUUCACCUUUCUAUUGACCUGUCGUUUAAGUAAGGGUCACGUGACCUCUUUUUAUUAUUUGAUUGAAUAACAUAGGUAGAUGAAACGACUACAAUUACAUUUAGAUCUAAACUGUAAGGUUGUGCCCGACACAAUUCCAAGUGAAUGAUAUAAAAAGAGAUUUUAGUAAAAGUACAAUGGUGCAAAAUUUAGUUUUUACCUUAAUAUUGGGCUUCUCUCCAAUUAUAGUACAUUUCAAGUAUCUUGAUCCGAUUUUAUGUUUAUUUUGAUAAUUCAAACUAUUUACAUCAUAAAUUCUGUCGUAAAGAAUAAUAUUAUAAAAAAUUACAUUCAUCAAGUAUUAAUUUUUUCAAUAAAAUCUAAAAUAUAAACGAUUUUAACCAACAAAAUGAGUUGGAAAACAAAACUCAAAUUGCUUGUACGACGCCAAUCAUUAGAGAAGACAUCCUUUCCCUACAAAGAUUUUCAAUUUUAUCCACCUAGAGCUCGCGUAGAGAUCUAACAUAAACGGGAAUGCUAUGUGCACAACCAUUGUUGCACAUAGUAUUUCCCUAAAAUAACAAGAGCAAAAGAUUCUAUGAAAAAUGAAAAAUAGAGCGAAGCCAAUCAAGAUCACGUCACCAUGCACACCUCCACUAUCCCCUCCCUCUCUCUCUCUAUAUAUAUAUCUCUCUCUCUAUCUGUUGCUUCAAUAAUUCCCUCACUUAUCACAUCAGUUUUUAGACCUCCACUAUGAGACCUGCUUUUCCACAUGAUAAAACCUCCGACCCCAUCCCAAAAUCACUACCACACGUACUAUUAUGACUCCACGCUUCUGACAAUUUGUCUAGUUUUUUUUUUUUCUUUUUAAUUUUUCUUUUAUAAUUUUUUUUUCAUUAAUUUUUUUAAUCAGUUUUAUUUAUUCUUUUUAUUGAAUUUAUUUUUUUAUUAAUUUUUUUGAUAAAUAAUUUUUUUGAUUAUAUGUUUACAAUCUUUUGUUUAUUUUUUAGUUGUAAAUUUUGAGAGUCAUUAUUUAUAAAAAUUUAAAAAAAUAUAAAAAUAUGGAUCAAAAUAAAAAAUAGAUAUAUAAAAUAACAAAAAUACUAAUAAUUAAUAAGCAAACACACUAAUAGCUUACAAACAAAUACUAUUGACAUGUGUCGAAAAUUAAAUAAUAAAAAAAAUAAAAAAUAAAAAAACAAAACUAAAUGAAAAUUAAAAAAAUUAAUAAAAACGCAAAAAUAAAACUAAAAAAAGAAAGGGUAAAUUACACUGACCUCCCCUGAGAUUUCGAUUUAAUACACUGACCUCCCCUCUAGUUUGAGAAAUUAUGAUGACCACCCCUCUAGUUUCAUUGUCGUUUCAAUUUCACCCCUCAAUUAGUGAUCCGUCAGAAUUUUUAUAUUUUUUUCCAUUUUGCCCUUCUCUCUCUCUUUCUAUCAACCAAAUAACAAAAAAAAAUAGUAAUCUAAAUAAAUUAAUUUUAACUUAAAAGUACUUAAAAUUAAUGUCAAAAUUAAUUAAAAUUAAUUUGUGUACAAAAAAAAAUAAAAUUUGUUAUUUAAGUUAGGUUCUCAAAUUAUAACAACUUAUUUUUAAAACAAGAUAAUUUUAAAUAGUACUUCUUAAAUACUCUUAAUACAAAUAAACUUUCUUAUAAAUAAUUUUUUUUAAGAAAAUAAUCUAGUAUUUUUUACUUUUUAAGUACUCUUAAUCUAAUAUAUUAAAAAAAAACUUUUUGAUAUUAGUUUUUUUAAAUAAAAAUAAGAUUUUUAUUUAAUUGGUUUGUUGUAUUGAGAAAAAAAUUUGAAAGACAUUAAUUAAAAAUAAAAUAUUGUCAUGAGUCACAAUUUAGUUUUUUUCAAUUUUGAUGUGAACUUUUUUAAUAUUUGAUCAACAAAUUUUAAUUUUUUAGGUAAUCUGACAACAUAUGUUGAAAAUAUAAUUUUUUUUACCUAAUUAAAAAAAAAAUAAAACAAAACAAAAUAGAUAAAAAAAUUAAAAAAAUUAAUAAAAGAAAAGAAAAAAAAUUAAAGAAAACUUAAAAGAAAAUUUAUUUUUUAUAGUUUAUAAAUUUUACAAAUAAUGACUCCCACCAAAUAAAAUUUUUAUACAAAUAUAAAAUAAAAAUUUUAUAUCAAAAAAAAAAAUUUGAUAAAAAAAUACAAAACAGGAAAAAAAAUAAGAGAGGGCGUUGUUGAGGCUUUGAGGGGCAAAAUAGUAAAUAGAUUGAGGGGACAAACCACUGUUCUCUGACAGGGGACGGGUCAGUGUAAUUCUCAAACCAGAGGGAGAGGUCAGUGAAAUUAAACGGAAACCUCCAGGGGAGUGUGAGUGUAUAAUUUACCCAAAAGAAAAACCGCAUAGUGGUUGGGGUGACAUAAUUUCAACGGCGAGCGAUAGUAUAACAGUAAGUGUCACGCUCUUCUCUGUUGGGUCACUCUUUCCCUUUUAUUCACAUUCAGUCUUUGCACCUCCACGACCUCUCUUGUUGCGUCGGAGAUCAUUAUCAAUCAGUUUUUAGACUUCACUAUCUACAAGCCCAAACCGAUGGAGAUCCAAAUAAUUAGGGAAGUAGUGCAAUCGAGUAAGUGCAGUUAGGGGCCGUUGGCUGGUGGAUAAGGUGGGGGAUAACUUUUCCCCCGGCCGGAUAUUUUUUCCCCACGUCGUUUGGCUGGCGGUUAGGAUAAGGAGGCGGAAAUUUGCCCCGGAUAAAUUUUGCCCUAGCAGGUGAUAAAGGGCGACUAAUUUUUGGGUGGCCUUAGACCUAACUAAGGUUAUCCGGGGGGAUAAGGGGGUGAGGAUAAGAAAAAAAAUAUAUAAAGAGAAAUAAAAUGUUAUAUUUUAUUUUAUAUCUAAUAUAUAUAGAAACAAAAAUACUUUUUAAUAUAUAAAGAUUUUAUAUUUUGUUUCUCUCUAUAUUAUUUUAUUCCUUAUCCCCAACCCUUAUCACCCAUUCUAAAAAGUACCAAACAAAUUAAAAGGUAUCCCCCUCCAAAAGUUAUCCCUCUCUAAAAUUUAUCCCCCCCUUUAAAAUUUAUCCCCCUCCCAUAUCCGCCAGCCAAAGGCCCGUUAUGUGAUGUACUACCCUUACGACCCACUGGGUAGGCUUCAUAAAAAAGCCCGCAGAUUAUGAUCUGGCUCAGUCUAGCGGGCCUAAGCUCGGUUCAUGGCUUAAUGGGCUUAAAUUCGGCUCAAGAUCAAGAUAGUAUGGGCUCGAUACAGGGUCUAGGCUCAAUUUUAAAAUCUAUGAAUCGGUUCACGGCCCGGCCCACGACCUGACCCGAAAAAUCCAACCCAUAGCCCACCUUAAAAGCCCGACCUGUGGCCCGACCUGAAGACCAGGCCUAAAACCCGGUGUGAUGCUCGUACUUGCCUUUUAUUAUUUUUUUAUUAUACAAAUUUUUAAGUAGAGUAAGGCAUGACAGUCAUUAGGUGAAGUAAAGAGUAAACAAAGUCUUACUCUUUUUUGUUAAUUCUAAAUUAAUUUUAAAAAUAUUUUUUUGAAAAAAAGUUUCGAUGAUGGUUUCAAAAAAUUAUUUUUAUUGAAAUUUUUACUAAAUUAAUACAUUUUUUAAAAAAUAAACAGCAAAAAAAUACUUUUUAAGUCGACAACGAAAAAAGUAAAAUAAUUCAGUUUUAGUAUAGAUAUUUUUCAGUUUAUAAAAUUUUUAUAUUUUAUAUUCCUCUCAUCAAACGAUAAAAAAAAAUUCAACAAAAAAAUUAAAAAUCAAACAGCUAAAUUAACUCAAAACGUGUUGACAUAAAGUUUUUGAUGAUUAAAUGUUUUUUAGAACAAAGUUAAAGUUUAAACAUUAUUAAAAAGGCAUUCAAGUUUUAAAAAUAGCUAUGUAAUUGAUUAAAAGAAGUUUUGAAACAUUACACAAAUCAUGAAUAUUAUUUUUCAUAAUUGAAAAUAAAUAUAUAUGUGUUAAUCUGGCUCUUAAAUCAAAAGUUGAAACAAAACUGUAAACUAUGAAUUGCAAAACAAAUAUAUGUUUAAACAAAGGAAUGUCUCUGGAAUCCAAGUAUAAAACCAACUGAAGUUAAAUGUCGGUCCGACCGAAGUUCAUGUUCGAAUCGACCGAAGCUGUGAGACCAAAGCCCCAAGGCACAAACCGAAUGCCAUGAAAACUUAGGACCGUUUAUUGAAAUCAACAAGCACUCUGGAACUCAAGGCAAACUCUAACCUAAGAUAAUUUUGGUUCAACCGAAAAUUCUGAAACUUUAAACUAAAGUUCAAAUUGAUCAUAGAGCAUAAAAUUAUAGCAUUACUAGCAGCUCCAGAAAGUCGAGCUAAACCGAAGUAAAGUUCGAGUCCAAUGAAUCUGGUAAAUUACUCAGACGAAGAUUAGAAACCAAGCAGGAAACAGGGCAAGAACCAAGCAUUUAGGCCCGCUUUGGAAAGUGCAGUGUUAUUCAGACUGAAUCCAAGUUCGGUUGAACCGAAAUUCAAAUGGGGCCAAACAAAGUUUUCUUUUAAAGAAAAAACAUCAUGGGACUGAGUCACCAUAAAUAAGUUCACAACUAGCCGAAGUUCAAGUUGGUCAGACCCAAAGUUAUUAAAAGUCGACUAAAAUUUUAAAUGUUCAAAUCUGCGCGAUCCCGAAUGGAGUGAAUCAAAAUGGUCUCGGCAAUGCAAUAAAUUUACUGCAACGUCUCUAUUCACUUGGCGGGCUUUAAAAAGAAACCUGUGGGUGUGGGAGGUAUGAAGUGAUCCAAACUACAAUUCUUGAAAGCUUUCAAUAAUAUUUCAAUAAUUCUGAGCAUGCAUGUGAUCAAAAUAUUGAGUGUAUCAACUCUAGAUAAAGAGAGUCUUCAUUGGAUUAUUAUUGAUCUAGGAAUGAAUAACCUUAAAUACUUCAUCAUAUAACCUUUUGAAAGAAUCCACAUUUAUGAUUGAGGAGAUCCAAGAGUAGAAGACUCUUAAGAUAGAGGUUGCUUAGUGUGUAAAAGGUUUGAUAAGCCACCCGCAAGGUUGUUGAGAUAGUGAUAUCUUAAGAAUGUCUGAGAGAGUGAACUAGGCAACGUUUGGCCGAACCACUCUAAAGUUUGCAAUCUCUUGUUUAAUCCUUCUCUUUAUUGCUACACAUUCAUCAUAUGCUGGAGUAGAAAUGCUACUAGGAUAUUUGAUUAAAUUUUCAUUUGAUCAUGUAUUGUAGCAAACGCUAUUUCACCCACUCUCUCAUAAUUUUGCUUUUUUUAGCUACCAAAAGGUAGUCCAAACUAAGUAUUUUAAAAUGAGAAGGAAUUUAUUAAUAUAUAAAAAUAUUAUCUAAAGUAUAGGGUAUUAAGGCUAUAAUUAGAAGUACAGGGGAAAAUAUGAUUGUAAGAAAAAAUAUUAAUAUUACAAUAUAAAAGAUUGUUGAGGAAAUCAUGAUACACAAUCCUCUUAAGUCUUGAUUUGUGUGUGAAAGUAGUACUUCCUAGAAAUCUUCUGUAUAUUCUUACUCUUUCAAUCAUUCAAUGCCCGUGUAAGUAUUGACUCUACCCAUUUGAUGGGUCAUCAGGAUUAGAUAAAAUGAGGGAUUGAAUUAUGCCUAUCUGUUUUUGUACACAAAUUUCAACACCAGCAAAUUGUCCUUUAAUCAUGUUUAGGACGUUAUUUCGCAAAUAAGAUGACAAAACUAAAAGGAAUGAUACAUCUAUCUCUAAGAAAUCUCUAUUUGACCUUAUAUGAAUAUUUGAAAAACUCUAUUUCAAUUAUUUUAUAUUUUAUAUGUAAAGAAUCAUAUAUAUGGAUGAUUUUAUGUCAUUACACAUUAUUUUUUUUUAUCUUUGAUAUUUUGAGUCUUUUAAUUUAUAAUAAAAUAUCUUUAUAAAAAAAAUUGUUUAACUUGCUUGUAAGUGGGCCUAGACCCGCCCUAGACCCAAACCCAAGCUCAAGCCUGGCCCGUAGACCUAGGCUCAGACCCAUGGACUAGGUUUUAGUCUCAUCUUUUCGGCCCAUAAAAUGACCCGUUGACUAGUCAAAACCUUGCUCAGCCCAAUCAAGAUGGGCCUGGGCCGGCCCAAGCCUGAUCCAUGAUGACCCUUACGAAUGGGUUAUUCUUUUCCUAAUGGGAAAUGAAAUACAGAGUCCUUUGAGUUGUCAGUGGUUUGAAAAUUUUAUUUCUCAUUGCGUAGGUAUAUUUGUGUUGAAAAAAAUGUUUUUUUUUUUUUUAAUCAGAAAGUUAAAAAAUAAUUUUUUUGAAUUUUAAAUGCUAAAAAAAGAAGACAGAAAAGAAUUAAAAUAUAAUAAAAAAAAUUACAGUCUUAUAUGAAGAACAUAAUUGGAAUUGACUGAGACCAAAUUUAAUUCAUGUCUUUAAGUCAUUUAUAAUUCACUUGGUACUUACGGAAAUUUUCGUACGACUCUCAGAAUACAAUAGUUUCAAUCUUUGAAUAGUAGUACUCUAAAUCAGAAGAUCACGGCGAACCUUUAAGUGUCUUCUCUCUCAAAUGUACUCUAAAGAUGAUGAAUUUAACACUUUCUAACUCUGCUUAGAAUGAUUUUCGAAUGAAUGAAAAAUGCUGAAUGGUAGUGGAAUUUAUAGAAGUUUUCACAUCUCUUAGAAGAGGUAGGGUGUUUUCCUAGUGGGUCACUUCUAUAUGGUAAGUCACCUAUUCGGCCAAGACUACACACAUUUAGCCAAACAAGCACUUACAAAGGCAUUUUCGCAUAAAUUAAAAAGUUACAACUGUUCGCAUAUUAAAUUAAUUUUUUUAAAAAUAAAUCAUAAUUUUUGUUCCGCUUAAAUCCGAAAUGGGUGACCGUUCGCGAAAGAAAAUUAAAUCCGGGAGAGAAAGGGUAAUUUCUAACCUUUUAGAAACUAAAAUAAUUGAAUAAUUUUUUUUAAAAAAUUAAUAUUCAAUUAAGUCCAAACCCAAACCUAAGCCCAAGCCCAAGCCCACCCGAACCAAGCCGAGUCGGGCUGGGUAGGCGAUUACGACGCAGCUGCACGUGUGUUAGAACCAUAAGCUAAUGGAUCAAAACUAUUUUGUACAUAAUUCUCACCCUUUAAAAUUUUGAGAUACCCAAAUGCCUAAUUUUUGGAGUCUAAACUUGAGUUUUAUAUGCUCACUAACUUUCAGUUUUUCAAUGUCGAACUAAAUUUUCUAUCCCCAUUUUUUUUUUUGCAUUGAAACUUCUUUGAAAAUAAGUUCUCAUUCAAAUCAACUUAAUUUUGAACAAAUAAAUACACUAAAUUCAUCUACUCAUUUAAAAGAAUAUAAAUUAUUCAUUAUUCAUCUCAUUUAUUGUAUGGACUUCCCAAAUAAACAUUUCUUUGCGCACGUCAUCAACUUGUGUAUUACGGUUCAAAUUUCCAGCUAAAAUUUUCUUUCAAUUUUAGCUUUCCCAGUUUGCCCUCCUUUAAACAUAUCCAUCCAAGGCGUGCUCUCUCUCUCUCUCUCUCUCUCUCUCUCUCUCUCUCUCUACAUGGCCCAUCAGGUCCUAGAUUGUUUUAAUGUAGAUUUUUUUAAAAAAAAAAAGGUUAUGUCAAUAUUCAAAUUAAAGCCUCAACUAGAUAGGAAAUAUAAGUUGAAGUGAAUUUUUUAUUUUUUCUUAUUACAAAUUGAUCGGUUUUAUAUAACCGUGUUUUUUUACAGAAAUAAAAAAAAGGGAAAUUUGGGCUCAAGUUCUAUUAGGGAGAAAAUUGGGGGGUGGGGGGUUGGAAUAAAAUUUUUUAUACCAAAAAAGAGGGGGUUUAACUUUUUUUGCAAAUUAGACAAAUUUUUUUUUGGCAUUUUUAGACCCUCUAUUAAAAAAGUAAAUUCAAAAAUUAAAAUUUUGAUUCAAGUUAAAUAAAAAAAAAAAUCACAAAAGAUGAAAUAAUACAGAAACCACUUCGCUAAAAUAAGAGACUCUCAGGUAAGGAACUAGAGUAACGAGUUUGAAUUACAUUUAAAGUCCUACAUAAGAGAUUUAAAUAUCAAAUGGAGAACUAUCAUACGGGUUUUCGAGCCUGUGUACUGGCUCGCAUACGGGCGCGUCCGACAUUCAUCCUUUUGAGGUGAACUCCACUAUUUUUUGUUUUUUAUUUUUUCUUAUUUUUUUUUUAGUAGGGUCCACCCAAUGGGUGAUGGGGCGCGCAACGGACUCGAGCCCGUAUAUAACUACGGGCUCGAGCCCGUCUAAUCAGUUCUUUAGCACUACUACGGGCUCGAGCCCUGUCUAUCAUUCUCAUAGCAAUAUAUCAUUCAGAUAGGCGUGGGUCUAGUGAUGACCCUCAACUAGCAAACAGCAAUGAUUAAAGAAGUCAUCAGCUUGAAACCAUCCAGUCCACGAGCAAAGACUUGAGCUAAACCAACCCAACGGUGGAGAGUAGCUCUGAAAGGGUUCACCUGGCACAUCAUAGACUUAAAACCAGAUCGAUUGGCCAAGUUGCAAACAAGUCAAUACAUGCUGUCCCUUGAUUCAUCCCAACCUCUCCAUACUCAACAUUCUUCUGGAGACUUCAACCAACACUAACUUGUAGAACGAUAUGUUGCCACUAUCCCAUGAACCAAUCGAUUCUUUGUUGCUCCGUGGAAAACAUUUUCCUCUCUGAUUCCUCGCGUUGAACAGUUAAAACCUGGCAGAGAUGGGGAAGACGAAGGGUCAUGGUGUGUUUCCGGGGUUGUCCCUGCUCACGUAAAAAUGGAUUGGCCACAAAAUUGAAAGGAUUUGGUGCUUAGUGUUGGUACAAGUUUGAGCUGCUAUAGUCCGCCACAUGAUGUUGCUAAUAGGGGCUUGUUAUAAUCACCAGGUGCCUCUGCAUCACUUCCUUAUCCGGUUUGCUCCAUCCCAAGCGCAACGGCAGCAAACAUAGCCAAGACCACGCUAACCCAUAAUAGUUGAACCAUUACAUAUCCCAAUCUGGUGUCUAGAUAAGGGGUUCCGUUGUAGGAAGCUACAGUCGUAAAUGUGGUCACUACAGACACAACGCUUGCAAUGAGCUGGAACUGAAUAAGUUUCUGAGUGUUGUUGAAAGCACAUCUUCCCACUUCAAGAUUGUAACCACAGAACAAAGUUGCACAAUAUGGUUAUAUCACCCACGCUUUGUUUUGCUGAUCGACAUAAUAAUUGCCUUGACCCCCAAUAGAAAGGCCCUAUACGGCUUCUUUUUUUGUCAUGUCUUCCGGGCCAGCCGGCUGACAACUGCACCACUGCCUGUCUGUUUCAAGCAUCGAAUCAUAAUCACUUUAUCAGAGGAGAACAUGUUGCCAUCACGCGGCAGCCAUCAAUUCUCUCCAUUUCUUUCCUCUGGUGUUAUUUUUGAAAUUCUUGACCUUCUAUAACUGCACGGAGCUUACAUCUUCAUUGCCUCGAAUAACCCCCAACCAAUAAGCUGUAGCUCGGCGAUGGACGAGCGUCACUUGGGGGACCCUUUUAACUUCACUCCAGCGUUUCAUUCUCCAUUUCCACGGCUUUUCUCCACCACUGCAUUGACAUGGUUCUUUCACAAAGCCGACCCUAGGAACAGUCAAGCCUUCUGGUUUUAUUACCCGUUCACAACUAAACCAUCUUCCAUAGGUCCUUCUGUACCUUUGAGCAUGUGCAAAAGCAAGCAUUGAGUUUGGUAGAGGAGGCCAUGCCUCGAAUCAUGUGCUCAGUUUGACCUUUCACCAACUCAGAUCUUUUAUCUUCCAGAAGCGUCGUAAUAACUCAACACAUUACUAAAUAUCCUCUGCCAGUCCCUCCAGUGGAUGUUGGCUCUGUGGUCCAGCUUUAUUCCUCACAAAAACAUGUUUUCCUUUCUUUCUGCGAAUUUUGAAGUUUCCAAUGUUGAACAGAACAACACCGGUUCAGUUCCCUAUGUUCACGUUAAGCUCCCAAUAUAAGCCCCAAUAUAGAAUAUCACGUUCAAUGGGCUACAAGAUUGCUUUGUGUUCAAACCUCUCCCCUCUUGGACUAAUCUAAUUACAUUUGGGGCAAUUGUAAGAUGAGUUCCAUCUCCGAUAGAAUACUUAUCAUGGGCCUACCCAAAACUUCGUUACUUUUAAAUUCCAUUUGCUUUGGAGUUGCCAGGUUGUACCUCAAUAACAAUGGUGGUUGCAGUCCUUAACGUUUCAAAAGCACAAAGUUUUGGACCACUACUUUAACCCGGCCAUCAAUCUUUGACAGAAUGAGCAGGGCAAUGUUUGACUUACCCACUGGACGCUAUCGUAUUCAUAGAAGAUACGAUGAAAUUCACACAAAAUAAUUCCUGGAGAUGGCAUAUAAAUCUAUAUCAACCGGACUCUGUCAACACAAGAAACUCCACUUUCCUCUUCAUCCAUUGUAUUUCCAUAGAAGUAUCGGCAAACGUAAAUCCGGGUAAAGUCAAACCAACGAUCACACUCACGCCGUGCACAUAAUAUUUUAACUUGUGGAACUCCGAGCUAUAAUGGUGUGGAAUUGCCACCAAUAUCGCAGUUUAUCGAGCUCAUUCUCGGAUCUCCCCAUAAUAUUGCUGUUUCUUACCAACAACAGCUGUGACCAGCAAUUCUAAGCAGACCCAUGCACUCCCUUCUGCCAAAAACACAGAAAGGAUCGAGUCUGAUUUAACUUCCACAGGGUCGACAAUUUCUGUCAACUUGGUUCAACCCGGUGAAUAAGUACCGACUCUCCCCUCCGCGUCCCUAGUCCGGAUACCCAUGAGCAGGGACAUGAUCCCGCUUUUCAGAUAAACACCUCUCCAACCACAAGAUCAGAGACCCAAAACUUGUUUCCAAGGCCCCGCUCUUAGAACCACAACAAACGGGGGUCGCAACGGACUGAUUUUUUCCAGUACUUGCGACGCACAAAUCAAGUACUGAAGGAGCAUGCGCGACAGGAAGUAAAAAGGAACAUAUAAGCAACGCCCUUCCCUGCAAUACGUCAGUUCGUUUUUCCUGUGUGUGAUCCCAGUGGCAAGCGCAAUUCAGCACAAUGCGAGUGUGAGGACAUGGAGAUAUCCGUGAACAUCAUCCCCACACGGACCACGAACCAAUUUUACAUGUCCUUUUGUUGUGGCUGUUGAGCCAAAUGUGUCCACGUCCGGUAACUAAGGUCAUCAGGAUCGCCGCAAAUUCCUA
rnacentral:lncRNA from 1 species